AAAUGAAGUUGGCUAUAGUUAUCCUGCUAGCCAUCGGGCCCCUAGCAGUUUAUUCUGUGAACAGAAAACUACUAAAUGAAUGCGCCAAGCAAGAGGGAGUGACCAGAGAGCUAUUGAUAAAGGAUGUAACCAAUAUGAAGAUCAAGUGCAUGACAUAUUGUCAGUAUGAAAAGACCAAGAUUAUUGUUAAUGGUAAAAUUAAUAUACCUGAUAUCCCGAAUGCAAAACCAUGCCUAAACGUAAAGGACGACAACAAAUGUGAGCUGGGCUUCAAGCUCAAACUGUGUUUAAGACUUUAUUUGACUAAAAAAGAAUGGGCGCAAAUGCCCUAAGAUUUAUAUAUGAAAUAUUAUAUAUAUUAAAUAUGGAAAAUAAAUCACAAAAAAGCGUA